CACACCUGUAAUCCCAGCACUCAGGAGGCUGAGGCAGGGGAGGGUCAUGAGUUUGAGGCCGUGUUGGACUACAUAGUGAGUUAAAGGCUGGCCUGGACCACUUUGCUAGACUCUCUGAAAAUAAAAGCAACAACAUAGUGAAGGAACCAAGAAAAUGGAAGAAUAACAGUUCAGGCUGUCACAAAGUAAGAGACGAGAUGACUUACCUGUAGCAGAGACUCAGUUCUCAGGUUCUGCGGGCAGAACCGUGAGCUCAGCACCUGCACCACCAGUCUGGGGGCCCCUUGUAGGUACAGACUGCAGGCCUCCGUCCUCACAGUGGGACAGGCCUACGUGUUCAGCAGUUGCCACAAAUCCCGUUCACGAUGGCUUCCCCUCAUCUGCAGUCACCUCCACAGGGCUCGCCCCACGUCCUCACCUUGUGCGUUAGAGAUUCAACAUGAGUUUGGGUGGGCAGAAGCUUCAGUCUGUAAUACUCUGCACCUUGCCCUCUCCUAACUCAUGUGUUCCUCUUGUGCAAAGUCAUUAGCCGCCAAAGCCCCCAUCUCACCUUGUCCAGCAUUAAUGCUCACGUCUAAAAUUCGGAGUGCCCUCUGGCUAAGUCAUCCUGAGGCCAGCAGGUCCCCAGCUAUGAACCUGUGAAGUCCAACAAGUUAUGUGCUCUAAAAAUACAGGGACAGACCUCUGCCGGCUAGGAAAGCAGUAGCAAAGAAGAAAGGGCUGACAGGUUAAGUCCAAGGCCCGGCAGGCCACCUGCAUUGGACCUGUCUCGAGAGUAGCCCACUUAGGCUCAGUGCCCUGCCUUCUGGACAGUCCGGUGGCUGUCGUGGCUUCCGAACAUGCGUGGGCAGAAGUCUUGCCUUCUGGACCUGUUGUGGUAGCAGCGUCAGCCCCACACUGGCACUCUUCCCUUUGCUAGGACCCCUGCCCAGGUGUUGGCCCUGCCCUUUGGGAUCAACACGUGAAUUUCAGUUCAAUGCUGAUGCUCCUUGGCUUAAGAUGGGCUUGCCCCUGGUAAGCCCACCAUAAAAGGAAAGCAUCACAGGUGGAAUAGUUGCAUUUGAUGCACCUGCCUGACUACCAAAUGCUGUAACAUAGCAACCUUGAGCUGUGGUGUUGCCUCCUCACCAUGCCUGGUGCUCUAACUGCUCCAUGUUGCCAAAGUAUUGCACUGCAUGUUGCAGGCCCAGGAAAAGGUCAGAAUGGUGCAUCUGCAGUAAGGUUUCCACUAAAUGUGUAAGUUGAACCAUUAUACACUGUACGGGGAGUGUUCACGUACGAAUUUGCUGGUGAACUAACAGCCCAUAAGAAUGAAGAUCAUGAAAGUCCAUUCAUGCUUGUUGACUUGAUUUGUGCAGUGUGCUGGAGAAAGCAGUGAACAGAAGGCCCCAUUGCUAUCAAACUUCUAGGGGGAUGUGAGGGACAAGAUACAAACCAGUAAAUACAUGAAGUCAGUGACAGGGCUCUGGUGAAAGGGCUGGCUGGUCAGUCAGCAGUCAGGGCCCUCGUCUCCUCCUCCAAGAGUGGUGUCCUGAGCAAGGCCCAGGGAGGAACAAGAGUGUGAAGGCUGUGGCCAGAUCAGAGGUGGCCCUGUGGCUGGGCACGUGGCGGAGGGCAGGGCGCUGCAACUUCUGUCACCAUCACUGAUUGCCCUCACAGUAGGGCGACAGCCGCAGGUGUGCAGACCAAAUGGUCAGCUGGCUUCUAGUGAAACUGUUACAGGAAGUGGCCGGGGGCCAGGGCUGGCAUGUUGGCUUCCUGCUGGCGUGGGCGUUGGGAAACAUGUUGGUUGAGUUUCCUUCUAAGCACGAUCAGAGUCACUGCAGGACUGAACAGUCUUGCAGUGGUUAUAGCAUCUGUUGAUAAUUACAGCUUGAAUCCGUUCUUACUUGGAAGAAGAGUAUUUGGAAACCAAGAUCUAGGACCCGUGAAGACAUUUCCAUCAUCUCAAAGUGUUCUCUUGUGUCACAUUCCGGUCUGUCCCUCGCUGCAGCCCCAGGCUCUCACUCCUCUCCUGUCACCGUGGAUUGAGCGAAACUCAUGUCUAGACUUCUCUGUCACCUGAGUCAUGUUGGGUGUACUCUUUUGUGUUAGGCUUCUUCUCUUCAGCAUGUUUCGAUAUUCACCUGUAUUGUAUUUAUCAGGAGUCCAUCCCUUUUUAUUUCUGCACAUAUGCUACUGUCUCGAAGUGCAUUAAGUGGACAUUUGGUUGUUCCCAGCUGUUACAAAUAAAGUUGCCGUGAAC
ensembl:lncRNA